AGCGAACGCUGGCGGCAGGCCUAACACAUGCAAGUCGAGCGCCCCGCAAGGGGAGCGGCAGACGGGAGAGUAACACGUGGGAACGUACCCUUCAGUUCGGAACAACCCAGGGAAACUUGGGCUAAUACCGGAUACGUCCGGAAGGAGAAAGAUUUAUCGCUGAAGGAUCGGCCCGCGUCUGAUUAGCUAGUUGGUGAGGUAACGGCUCACCAAGGCGACGACCAGUAGCUGGUCUGAGAGGAUGAUCAGCAUCACUGGGACUGAGACACGGCCCAGACUCCUAAGGGAGGCGGCAGUGGGGAAUAUUGGACAAUGGGCGCAAGCCUGAUCCGGCCAUGCCGCGUGGAUGAUGAAGGCCCUAGGGUUGUAAAGUCCUUUCGGCGGGGAAGAUAACGACGUUACCCGCAGAAGAAGCACCGGCUAACUCCGUGCCAGCAGCCGCCGUAA
rnacentral:rRNA from 1 species